rnacentral:rRNA from 1 species
UACGGAGGGUGCAAGCGUUGUUCGGAAUUACUGGGCGUAAAGCGCGCGUAGGCGGUUUGUUAAGUCAGAUGUGAAAGCCCAGGGCUUAACCUUGGACGUGCAUUUGAAACUGGCAGACUUGAGUAUUGGAGGGGGUGGUGGAAUUCCCGGUGUAGAGGUGAAAUGCGUAGAUAUCGGGAGGAAUACCGGUGGCGAAGGCGACCACCUGGCCAAAUACUGACGCUGAGGUGCGAAAGCGUGGGGAGCAAACAGG